rnacentral:ncRNA from 1 species
AGAAUCCCGCCUGGAAAGCGACGAUGCAUUCGUGCCUCGGCCUCGAGAGGCGUAGCUAGACGGCCGUGUGGCCGUGGAAAGAGCCCGAUUCCGACCCGAGAGGCCGCGGCAAGAGGCGGCCUCGAAGUCGGUGGAUCCUCCUGCUCGAAAGGCGGGGUGCUAAACCAUUCGCAGACGACCUAGUUGAAGAUCGGGGUGUCGUGAUCACUAGAGCAGUACAUCUCACUGCGAUUUGUUGAGAGUAAGCCUCAAGAUCUGUCGGUUUGU